rnacentral:rRNA from 1 species
GACGAAGGGGCUAGCGUUGUUCGGAAUUACUGGGCGUAAAGCGCGUGUAGGCGGUUGCCCAAGUCGGGUGUGAAAGCCUUGAGCUCAACUCAAGAAAUGCACUCGGUACUGGGUGACUAGAGGACCGGAGAGGAUAGUGGGAAUUCCCAGUGUAGUGGUGAAAUACGUAAGAGAUUGGGAAGAACACCAGUGGCGAAGGCGGCUA